rnacentral:rRNA from 1 species
GUUUGAUCAUGGCUCAGAAUCAACGCUGGCGGCGCGCUUAACACAUGCAAGUCGCACGAGAAAGUGGAGCAAUCCAUGAGUACAGUGGCGUACGGGUGAGUAACACGUGGAUGAUCUACCUCUUAGUGGGGAAUAACCCAGGGAAACCGGGGCUAAUACCGCAUAAGAUCGAGAGAGGAAAGCAGCAAUGCGCUGAGAGAGGAGUCCGCGGCCGAUUAGCUAGUUGGCAGGGUAAAAGCCUACCAAGGCAAAGAUCGGUAGCCGGCCUGAGAGGGCACACGGCCACACUGGCACUGAAACACGGGCCAGACUCCUACGGGAGGCAGCAGUGGGGAAUCUUGCACAAUGGGGGCAACCCUGAUGCAGCAACGCCGCGUGAGCGAUGAAGCCCUUCGGGGUGUAAAGCUCUUUCGGC